AGUGAACGCUGGCGGUAGGCCUAACACAUGCAAGUCGAACGGCAGCACAGUAAGAGCUUGCUCUUACGGGUGGCGAGUGGCGGACGGGUGAGGAAUACAUCGGAAUCUACUUUUUCGUGGGGGAUAACGUAGGGACACUUACGCUAAUACCGCAUACGACCUACGGGUGAAAGCAGGGGAUCUUCGGACCUUGCGCGAUUGAAUGAGCCGAUGUCGGAUUAGCUAGUUGGCGGGGUAAAGGCCCACCAAGGCGACGAUCCGUAGCUGGUCUGAGAGGAUGAUCAUCCACACUGGAACUGAGACACGGUCCAGACUCAUACGGGAGGCCGCAGUGGGGAAUAUUGGGCAAUGGGAGCAAGCCGGAACCAGCCAUAACGCGUGGGUGAAGAAGGCCCUCGGGUUGUAAAGCCCUUUUGUUGGGAAAGAAAAGCAGCAGGUUAAUACCCCGCUGUUAUGACGGUACCCAAAGAAUAAGCACCGGCUAACUUCGU
rnacentral:rRNA from 1 species